rnacentral:rRNA from 1 species
ACAGAGGGUGCGAGCGUUGUCCGGAAUCACUGGGCGUAAAGGGCGCGUAGGCGGUCUGGUAAGCGUGUGGUGAAAGCUCGGGGCUCAACCCCGAGUCGGCCGUGCGAACUGCUGGACUGGAGCACUGUAGAGGCAGAUGGAAUUCCGGGUGUAGCGGUGGAAUGCGUAGAGAUCCGGAAGAACACCGGUGGCGAAGGCGGUCUGCUGGGCAGUGGCUGACGCUGAGGCGCGACAGCGUGGGGAGCAAACAGGA